ACUGAAUGAGAAAGUUCAGUUUAGGGUUUAAAACCCUAAUGCUGACUAAGAGGAAAAAGUUCACCUAAUGCUGACUAAAGGAAAAGUUCAGUUUAGGGUUUAAAACCCUAAUGCUGACUGAAUGGAAAAAAGUUCAGUUUAGGGUUUAAAACCCUAAUGCUGACUGAAGGAAAAAGUUCAGUUUAGGGUUUAAAACCCUAAUGCUGACUAAAGAAAAAAGUUCAGUUUAGGGUUUAAAACCCUAAUGCUGACUGAAUGGACAAGAGUUCAGUUUAGGGUUUAAAACCCUAAUGCUGACUGAAGGAAAGAGUUCAGUUUAGGGUUUAAAACCCUAAUGCUGACUAAAGGGAAGGUUCAGUCUAGGGUUUAAAACCCUAAUCUUGAUUAAAGGGAAAAGUUCAUUUUUAGGGUUUAAAACCC
rnacentral:lncRNA from 1 species